CAGAUCUGUAGGUGGCUGGAUGCAGAGAGCAGAGGCAGACGCAGUGUUUCAAGGAAAAGGGUGCUUACUUUCAAGGUACGAAUUCACCUAUGCUGCACCAGAAUACGAAGACCAAAUACCCCAAGGAUGCAGCUUGUGACACACGUGACCCCUGCAUGGAGGCUAAACCAAACCAGUCUUAGGCAAGGGGAAAGGUCUAUGGAUUUGGAAAAAAGAACAAGCCUGACCCUCUCCAGCCCUUGCUUCCUCUGGUACAUUCCUUUUGGCUGGGCUGAAUAACCAGUGUGACCUUGAUUGCAACCCACAGCAUGGAGAAGGAAGGCCAUUUCCACCCAUUCUUACAUACUUAUGCCUCGACAGGAGGAACACGCAAUGCUAACGCAAGAGGUUGGUGCCACAAUACAUUUUCUGCAGGUGACUACAGAAGGAAGUGAAAAG